GCGGCGGCCAUUGGCGGCGCUCGCGGUGGUGACGCUGCGUUGUGCGGCUUGGACAAAAUGGCGGCGCCCAGGCGGCCGCGUGGGGAGAAGGAGCAGGAGGAGGAUGAUGUUCCCUUAGAGGCUAAGCGCGUCCGUGGGCAGCGACGGCUUCUGGUGGUGCUGGAAGGGGCGAGCCUAGAGACAGUGAAGGUGGGGAAGACGUUCGAACUCCUUAAUUGCGACAAGCAUAAGGCGCUGCUGCUGCGGAGCGGCCGGGACCCCGGAGAGGUGCGGCCCGACAUCACCCACCAGAGUCUUCUCAUGCUUAUGGAUAGCCCUCUGAAUCGGGCUGGUCUUCUGCAAGUUUACAUCCAUACCCAAAAGAAUGUUUUAAUUGAAGUUAAUCCUCAGACCAGGAUCCCAAGAACGUUUGAUCGAUUCUGUGGUCUUAUGGUUCAGUUGCUGCAUAAGCUUAGCGUUCGAGCAGCUGAUGGUCCUCAGAAAUUGUUGAAGGUUAUUAAAAAUCCAGUCAGUGACCAUCUACCUGUGGGCUGUAUGAAGAUAGGUACCUCUUUUGCAGUUCCAAAUGUGACAGAUCUGCGUGAACUGGUUCCUACAGCAGAGCCAGUAACUAUUGUUGUGGGAGCUUUUGCCCACGGUUCAGUCAAUGUGGACUAUACAGAAAAGAUGAUCUCUAUCAGCAACUAUCCCCUCUCUGCUGCCCUCACGUGUGCUAAAAUUACUACUGCCUUUGAGGAAGCCUGGGGAGUAGUAUGAACUUGUCUCUGCUGCUGUCAUGAUGGACUGCUAUACAGUGACUCCAGAUUCUGGAGAGGCUUUUUUUAGUUCUUUGUGGACCUGGUGCAGCUUUGGGCUCCUGAAAAGGAAAAGCUUCAGUUUCUUCUUUGUAGCUCCUGGAGCAAUGCAACUUUACAUGGAGGUGCCCCACCAACCCUUUUUCCUCCUAUUAAAGUUUGUGAUGACUGCAUGGACACUGAACGCUGGAUCAGGGCCUGUACAGGAGGGCCAGAACAAAUGGCAAAAAUCCAAGAAGAUAUGACAUGACUCAACAAAAGAAAGGAAGAUGGGAACUGAGAUCCAGUGCUGAUGGUUUCCACAUUAAGGGAAUACUACUCACAAGACACAGAGCAUUGGAGAUGGGGAAUCUAAAGCAACAGAUUUGGGGAAAGCAGAUGAUCACUGGAAUAGCAAACAAGAGGAAGGGAAGCGUAUCUGUGUUCUACUCACCAGAUCUUUUCCUCCAUCAUAGUAAUCAAUGGCCAAGCCUGGAGAUGAGAAACAAUCAUUUGAAGAUUUAUGAUGGACUAUUUGGGCUAAGCAAGCAGUCCUCUUCCCUGAGGCAUGGCUUACAGAAUGCAAAAUAUAACAAGGUAGCAUCGCUUACCAAUUAACUUGAGAGUCAAGACACAAUGUGGCAUUGUCCACUUGAUGUCAUAGUGCUCUGUGGCUGUGAAGUAAUAGCCAGCCAUAAGGUACGUCUGAAAGAAAUAAUUAUUUGGGUUAUUUAAAGCAAACCUCCAGCAGUUUUUGAUCUGUUUUCAUUUUUCCACCUAUAUUUGCUACUGAGAACUGCAAAAAUGAACAGAAAGCUCUUUCUACAAACUGAUGCAAACUGACAUAAAACUUCCUUAGGAGGAAGUUUUUCACACAGAGGGUGGUGACACACUGGAACAGGCUGCCCAAGGA